rnacentral:rRNA from 1 species
AGUGAACGCUGGCGGUAGGCCUAACACAUGCAAGUCGAACGGCAGCACAGUAAGAGCUUGCUCUUACGGGUGGCGAGUGGCGGACGGGUGAGGAAUACAUCGGAAUCUACUUUUUCGUGGGGGAUAACGUAGGGAAACUUACGCUAAUACCGCAUACGACCUACGGGUGAAAGCAGGGGAUCUUCGGACCUUGCGCGAUUGAAUGAGCCGAUGUCGGAUUAGCUAGUUGGCGGGGUAAAGGCCCACCAAGGCGACGAUCCGUAGCUGGUCUGAGAGGAUGAUCAGCCACACUGCAACUGAGACACGGUCCAGACUCCGACGGGAGGCAGCAGUGGGGAAUAUGGGACAAUGAGCGCAAGCCUGAUCCAGCCAUACCGCGUGGGUGAAGAAGGCCUUCGGGUUGUAAAGCCCUUUUGUUGGGAAAGAAAAGCAGCAGGUUAAUACCCCGCUGUUCUGACGGUACCCAAAGAAUAAGCACCGGCUAACUUCGU